GUGAUGGGCACUCUUGGGCCAGAGAGAGGCCUGUUCUGCCCCGUGAGAUGGCCCACAAAUGGCCUUUCUUCCUCCUAGAAACAGCCAUCAGCUCCCAGGCCCUGCCAGGCCUGUGAUGUGAGGUCACCUACGCAGACGCUCUUCAUGUGACCUUGGCCUCCUCCCAGCACUGCAGCAGGGUUCCAGGAGCAAGUAUCCCAAGAAAACAGGAAAGCUGGAUGGAAGCUAUAUUACCUUCUGAGACCAAGUCUCCAGAGCUGCAUAGCAUGACAUCCACCGUACCCCAUCCCGCAGAUGACAAAACUGAAGCUUGGAGAUGUCACAUCACCUGCCCAAAGCCACCCAACCACUAAGGGGACAGAACUGGAGUUUGAUUCCAGUAGUCUGAUUCCAUGUAACUGGCAAGAACCUGGCCAAGCCAAAUGCAGCCAAACAAGACUUGGAAGUGGCAGAGAAUGGUCUUCCGAGGUUAACCCAGAGAGUGGGCAGCCAGAGAUGAGAGCUGCCUGCUCUGGGCCUACUCACAGCCUCUGGCCUCUCUAGGGUUAGCCUUAGUCUCCCAACUGGCUCUAAGGCCAUGAUUUUAUUCUAAUUUCAAGGCUAUAAGAACAUGAGGCCAUGCCUGUAAUCUCAGCAGUUUGGAUGGCUAAGGCAGGAAGAUCGCCUGAGCCCAGGAGUUCGAGACCAGCCUGGCCAACAGAGUGAGACCCCUUCUCUACAAAAAAAACUUUUGAAAUUUACAGGGUGUAGUGGCACGUGCCUGUGGUCUCAGCUAUUUAGGAGGCUGAGGUAGGAGGAUUGCUUGAGCCCAGGAGGUUGAGGCUGCAGUGAACCAAGAUCAUACCACUAUACUCCAGCCUGGGCAAUACAGAGAGAACUUGCAAAGAAGAAGAAGAAGAGGAGGAGGAGGAGGAGAAGGCAAGGAGGAAGAAGGAAGAAGAAGUUUGAACACACAUAAGCAGAAAAGACAAUUUGCCCUGAGCAGGCCCUGGAAGCCUAUUCUUGGCUCUGGAGGGCCCUAAAAUCUGGAUGGAGCUUCCCUGCAGGGUUGGGUGCAGGCCAGUAUGUGGGCAGAUGGAAGGGAUGGUGGAAAGCACUUAUUCCAGAAAUCAUCAAUGUGGGGCUUAGAUGCCCAGCAAGGGAACUGGAAGGCUAGAUGUUCCAGUUCCAGCUGUCUAAAGACAGCUUUCUAAGUCAAGCCAGUAGCCCCUUUAUUUUGAUCAAUAUUUCCUAGGAGAAAAGGCCGGGUCAGUGCAGAAACUUAGAUGGUCUCUGGGGACCACUGGUUUCUCUGCCCAGUGGCCGAUCAUCAACUUCCGCUGUGAACAGCUUUCAGUAGUUUUCCAGAGUGCUGGCAAGGAAGACUUGACUUGAGGAUUGGACACCAGGAAAAUUGCCAGAAUAAUGUGUGUGUGUUGGGGGGGUUAUAACAGGAUGUGUUUAUUUUGUUUGUUUGUUUUUUGUGUUUUCUUUUCCCUUUGCUUUUUUGUUUCUUUUCUUUUUGGAAACCAUCUCAAACAGUAUAUUUAUUUCUUGAUAAACUAUCUCAGGCAUUAAAAUGAUAGAUAAUACAAACACUGGAAAUAACCCAAAUGCCUGCCAACAGGUGAAUGGAUGGACAUAUUCUUUUUGUUGUUGUUGUUGUUGUUUGAGACAGGGUCUCAGUUGCCCACGCUGGAGUGCAGUGGCACAAUCACAGCUCACUGCAGCCUCCACAUCCUGGGCUCAAGGCCUCCUGCCUCAGCCUCCUGAGUAGUUAGGACUACAGGUGUGGGCCACUACUUUUAGCCAAAUUUUUUUUUUUUUUUUUUUUUUUUUAGAGACAGGGUUUCACUAUGUUGCCGGGCUCCAAAUAGGUGUCUUUUUUUAGAUUCUCCUGCCUCAGCCUCCCGAAUAGUUGGGAUUACAGGCGCCCACCAUGCCCAGCUAAUUUUUGUCUUUUUAGCAGAGACAGGGUUUCACCAUAUUGGCCAGGCUGGUCUCAAACUCCUGACCUCAAGUGAUCUGCCCACCUUGGCCUCUCAAAGUGCUGGGAUUACAGGCGUGAGCCACCGUGCCUGGUCCAUAUUAUUUUUUUAAAAAAUAGGGAUGGAAUCUCACUAUUGUGACCAGCCUGUCUCAAAUUCCUGGCCUCAAGCCAUUCUCCCAUCUCGGCCUCCCAAAGUGCUGGGAUUACAAGUAUGAGCCACCGUGCCCAGCCUAAAAUCUUUUUUUUUCCUUUCUUUUUUUUUUGAGACAGAGUCUAGCUUUGUCACCUACGCUGGAGUGCAGUGGCCAGGAUCUUGGCUCACCACAACCUCUGUCUCCCAGGUUCCAGCAAUUCUCCUGCCUCAGCUUCCUGAGUAGCUGGGAUUACAGGUGUGUGCCAGCUAAUUUUUUGUAUUUUUCAUAGAGACAGUUUUCACCAUGUUGGCCAGGCUGGUAUCAAACUCCUGACCUCAAAUGAUCUGCCUGCCUUGGCCUCCCAAAAUGCUGGGGUUACAGGCAUGAGCCACCAUGCCCCGCCUAAAAUAUCUUUCUUAAAGCACAUUGCGGCCCCCAAAAAGUUUGAAAACCCUGCCCUAAAUAUGUGACAUUGUUUUCCCAUUUUAAACUUUUAUGUAAGUAGCAUCAUCCAGCCCAAAUGCUUCCCCCAGCUGGCUUUUGCUUCAUUGAUAUUAGCUUUGAGAUGAAUCCAUGUUGAUACACGUAGCUCAGUUUCCUUCCUUUCCAUCACCGCCUAAACAUGCUGCAAGUUAUUUCUCCGUCAUCCUAUGAUUGGAUUUUUUUUUUUUUUUUUUUUUUUUUUGCCAAAUGGGACAUUUAAAAAAUAGCUAUCUCUCACUAUUACCACCUUUCUUACUUGGAAGGACAUUUUAAUAUAAAUAAAGUCAGAAUGUCCUGCUCUCAGAAGCAAAGCCGGUCUUUUAAACGAAAUAAAUCUGGCUUUAUGAAAACUCAUUCCACCUGCCCCUGAGGGUUAAGGCUGUUGGUUUUCUUCCUUGUUGACUGUUAGUUUGUUUAUUAGAUGUUGUAACCUAGUGAAAACAUAGUCACCUACACAACAAUAUUAGGCUGCCUGGUGCUACCUCUGGGGAAGGAAAGGGGAAGCGAAUAGGAUGGAGAUGGGAUUCAAAGAGAGUAGACUGGGCAUGGUGGCUCACGCCUGUAAU
rnacentral:lncRNA from 10 species